UGGUGUAGCUUAGUGGUAGAGCACUUGCCUAGUAUGCAAAGCCCUAGGUUCAAUCCCUAGCACCA
rnacentral:tRNA from 1 species